GAUGAACGCUGGCGGCGUGCCUAAUACAUGCAAGUCGAGCGAACAGACGAGGAGCUUGCUCCUCUUACGUUAGCGGCGGACGGGUGAGUAACACGUGGAUAACCUACCUAUAAGACUGGGAUAACUUCGGGAAACCGGAGCUAAUACCGGAUAAUAUAUUGAACCGCAUGGUUCAAUAGUGAAAGACGGUUUUGCUGUCACUUAUAGAUGGAUCCGCGCCGCAUUAGCUAGUUGGUAAGGUAACGGCUUACCAAGGCGACGAUGCGUAGCCGACCUGAGAGGGUGAUCGGCCACACUGGAACUGAGACAAGGUCCAGACUCAUACGGGAGGCAGCAGUAGGGAAUCUUCAGCAAUGGGCGAAAGCCUGACGGAGCAACGCCGCGUGAGUGAUGAAGGUCUUCGGAUCGUAAAACUCUGUUAUUAGGGAAGAACAAAUGUGUAAGUAACUAUGCACGUCUUGACGGUACCUAAUCAGAAAGCCACGGCUAACUAAGUG
rnacentral:rRNA from 1 species